AGUGGAAUAAAAUAAAAAUGAUUAAGAUACACUGACGUGAUGAUAAUUAUCUUGUGUGUAUAUCAAGCUUAGUUUGAUGUAAAAAUUGGAGACCAAGACAAGUCAUGGACUCCUCAAACUGUUUGUUCCGUUUGCGUUGAAGCAUUAAGAAACUUACUUUUACAAAAAGGUAGGAAGAAAUCUUUCACCUUUAACCUAGGAAUCACAGUGAUGAUUGUUAUUUUUGUUAGUGUAAUGUUCAUGGAUUCAUAUCGUCAGUAAAGUAAAGUAAAAGUUUUGCACAAUGGUAACGAACUGGCUUCGGUUCCCGUUGCGCAUUCGGUACAUUUAAAACAAAACGUAUGAAAAUUUAGGACUUCUUUUGAAGAAAAUAAACAACCAAGAACAUCAGUGGAUGCUUUGCGGUGACCUUAGAGUGCUGUGCAUGCUCUUGAGACAACAGGAGGCUCUCACAAAAUUUCCAUGUUUUAUUUGUGAGUGGGAUAGACAUUGAACUCAAAUGGAACGGACCUCUAGAACAAGAUUCACACCUAGUAACAAAAAGAUGCUAAGAGAUAGCUUAGUUGGUCCCAAAAAAGUUUUACUGCCUCCUCUUCAUAUCAAACUUGGCUUGAUGAAGCAGACUGUUAAAGUCCUUGACAAAUAUUUCAAAUAAUUGUUGAACAAAUUUCCAGCAAUAUCUGAUGUAGAUAUCUGGGCCGCAGCCUGGGUUUCAUUUAAAGAAGUAUUUGAUAAGUUUCUUGGGAACUCUUGGAAACACUUUCAUCGUCUAGUAGUUAGCGAAGGACAGGAAGAUGACAUUAAGAAAAUGGAAGCGCGAUACCAAGAUAGAUGGAGCAUAACUAUGAUGGCGAACUACUGCUGGAUGUUAAAACGGGAUUGGUAUUGAUAUUGGUAUUUAAGGGGGACGCCCCCUCGGGCGUCCAAGCACUUAGGCAUCCAGAUUGGCCCGUUGUGCCCCAAGACCGUGCUAGAGGGCGUCCAGAAUGCCGCCCCUCCUAUAGAAGGUCAGCAACUCCUUUAGCCCAAUACCGUGCACUGAGUCCAGAUCGCCGUUCCGAAGACUCCAAAUCUUGUCAAUAUCAAAGCAGGGCACUCGGUGACGGUGCGAUUUUAAAAUGUCAGCGUCGUCGCUCGUUAUUAUGCUCUGUUCCUCACGGCGGACGAGUGAUAUGAUCUCGUUAAAUCCGGAGCUGCGACAGACCAUAACGACAUA